CUGCCGUCGGUAAUCGAUACCUAGAGACGCUAUUAGUUUUUACUCGAAUGUCGAAUCGACGCGACGUGUUGUGUUCCACGUGAUGAAAGGUGAGAAUGUUCAAAAAGAGCUGCUCAGUGGGGUGCGAAAGUGUGAAAAUAAUGGAGCUGGACACGAAAUGAGUGGGUGCGAGCAGGAGAAGACUAGCCUUUUACUCGACGUGAAUGAAGAUGGCAGUGUCCUGUGGACAGGGGCAGCAGUGCAAUUGGAGUGUAAACAUCUAAAUGAAAAUAUCAUCAAAUAAUACGUUUUGAAAACUUCAAGGUCAACUUGGGGUGGAUUGUCCUGUCAGGCAUGAAAGGGUUGAAGGCCGUCUGUCCAGGGACACGUACACCAUUAUACCUUAUCUCGGUCGCUCUGCUGUAUCUUAAGGAAUGCCAGGACCGUAGCGGCUCUUUGUUUACACGUAUAACCUCACACAGCCGAAUCCUUGUCAAACUUUAUUAACACUUCCCUCAGGAACGGUUUGUCUGCGAUCCAUGGCUCUCUGCCGAACUUUCUCCUUUUAUAUCGAAUGGGAUAUACAUAAUACAAACUUGAACUAUGUAAUACUAGAUCAAAAAUCUAUCGAAAUGAUACACUAUAAGUGAAAUCUCGUCAGAUUUUCUUUUAUUCUAGUAAUUAGUACGCAUUUUUACAGAUUUAUGGAAAUUUUGCUAGUGCAAGAGUGCUGACUUUACGUGUAGUAUAAGAAAUAUACAAAAUAUUCACUGUAUUGUUGUUUACAGUACUUAUUGACACUAAAAUUAUC